rnacentral:lncRNA from 1 species
GGCCCAUCCUGGUGCUGGGACGGUCCACUGUGCUGUGGAGAUACGCGCUCCCUGAGAAGAAAUGCCAGCCAGAGUGCCCUCGAAAGUGCCACAUGCCCUCACCUUCCUUUCCUGUCUGAGAGAGAUGACUCGGGGUGCAGAGGACAUGGAGGGUCACAUUGAGGUCAUCCUAUCAAAAAGCCUGCUUGAGCCCUCACAAGAAGUCUGCAAGCAAGGUUAUGCAAAUUGUUCUGCGCAUGUGUUCUUGGUGCACAUCCUUUCUCAGCCAGUGUUAACCGUGCCCUACCUUCCUGUCUCAGUCAAGCUCACCAAGGCCCAGGAAGGAUGGCUGGGCCUUCCUCAUGAUUUGGGAGGUUUGAGGUGCGGGAACAGACAGAGAAGGAACGCAAGUUACUCUUUUUCCCCUCAGGGAUUGACCCCAAGACCCCGUGCACACUAG